AGAUUGAACGCUGGCGGCAGGCCUAACACAUGCAAGUCGAGCGGCAGCACGGGUACUUGUACCUGGUGGCGCGCGGCGGACGGGUGAGUAAUGCCUAGGAAUCUGCCUGGUAGUGGGGGAUAACGCUCGGAAACGGACGCUAAUACCGCAUACGUCCUACGGGAGAAAGCAGGGGACCUUCGGGCCUUGCGCUAUCAGAUGAGCCUAGGUCGGAUUAGCUAGUUGGUGGGGUAAUGGCUCACCAAGGCGACGAUCCGUAACUGGUCUGAGAGGAUGAUCAGUCACACUGGAACUGAGACACGGUCCAGACUCCUACGGGAGGCAGCAGUGGGGAAUAUUGGACAAUGGGCGAAAGCCUGAUCCAGCCAUGCCGCGUGUGUGAAGAAGGUCUUCGGAUUGUAAAGCACUUUAAGUGGAGGAAGGCAGUUACCUAAUACGUAUCUGUUUGACGUUACCGACAAGAAUAAGCAACCGGCUAACUCUGUGCCAGCACG
rnacentral:rRNA from 1 species